CCUACGGGUGGCAGCAGUGAGGAAUAGUGGACAAUGGGCGGAAGCCGGAACCAGCCAAGGAGAGGGAAGGAUGACGGCCCUACGGGUUGUAAACUGCUUUUAUACGGGAAUAACGCGCCUUACGUGUAGGGCUUUGCAUGUACCGUAUGAAUAAGGACCGGCUAACUCCGUGCCAGCCGCCGCGGUAAUACGGAAGGUCCGGGCGUUAUCCGGAUUUGUUGGGUUUAAACGGAGCGUAGGCCGGAUGUCAAGCGAGCUGUGAAAUGUCCGGGCUCAACCCGGGCCUUGCAGCGCGAACUGGCGUGCUUGAGUCCGCGAGAGGCAGGCGGAAUUCGUCGUGUAGCGGUGAAAUGCUUAGAUAUGACGAAGAACCCCGAUUGCGAAGGCAGCUUGCUGCAGCGGAACUGACGCUGAUGCUCGAAAGCGCGGGUAUCGAACAGGAUUAGAUACCCUGGUAGUC
rnacentral:rRNA from 1 species